rnacentral:rRNA from 1 species
UAUAAGGGCGUAUGGAGGAUGCCUAGACACUAGAAGGCGAUGAAGGUCGUGGCGUGACUGCGAUAAACUUCGGGGAGCCGUCGAGCGGGCUUUGAUCCGGAGGUAACCGAAUGGGGCAACCCAAUAUGACAAACUCAUAUUAUCUCGCGUAAGCGAGAUGCGUACCUGGGGAAGUGAAACAUCUCAGUACCCAGAGGAAAAGAGAACGAAGUUAUCCCCUUAGUAGCGGCGAGCGAAAAGGGAACAGCCUAAACCGAUUUCAUAAUUAUUCGUGCGUUAGCAGAAUGGCCCUGGAAUGGCCAACCAAAGAAGGUGACAGUCCUGUAAGCGAAAACAAACGAACUUCUGUAUUAUUUCCUGAGUAGCCCGGGAUAAGGAUGUCCUGGGUGAAUUUGUCCAUACUACUGGAUAAGGCUAAAUACUUCUAGUGAUCGAUAGUGAACCAGUACCGUGAGGGAAAGGUGAAAAGCACCCCGAUGAGGGGAGUGAAAUAGCAACUGAAACCAUAUGCCUACAAAGAGCAGGAGCCGUACUUUGCACAGAGAUCCUAAGUCCUAAACGAAUUGGAAAAUUGUUUAGAGUUUGGAAAUUAGAAUUUAGAGUUUCCGUGCAGGGUGCGGUGACUGUGUGCCUAUUGAAGAAUGACCCAACGAGUUUAUUUAAAUUACACUCUAAGUCCUUAUGGGACGAAGGGGAAGGGAAACCGAGUGUUAAUAGCGCGUCAUCCAACUUAAAUUUUUGGACUACGUAAGUUCAAAAAUUUAAGUUGGAUAUGUAGUUUGAGUAAGACCCGAAGCCAGGCGAGCUAACCAUGACCAGGAUGAAGGUUACCGAAAGGUAACUGGAGGUCCGAACCAGUUGGUAGCGCAAUACCAUUGGAUGAGUUGUGGUUCGUAGUGAAAAGCUUAUCGAGCUUGGUAAUAGCUGGUUCUCUCCGAAAUGCCUUUAGGGGCAGCGUUGCACAGUAGCAGAGGGGGUAGAGCACUGAAUGGUAAUCCGUGCCCUUUUGGGUAGGACUACCAAACAAACUCCGAAUACCUUUGUGGAAUGUGCGGCAGUGAGUAAGCGGGGGCAAAGCUUCGUUUACGCAAGGGAAACAGCCCAGAUCACCGCUUAAGGUCCCAAAAUUUAGACUAAGUGAAAAGGAAGUGUUUUGCCUUAGACAGGUAGGAGGUUGGCUUAGAAGCAGCCAUCCUUUAAAGAGUGCGUAAUAGCUCACUAUUCGAUCUCAUCGCAAGAUGAGGAGGCAAAGUGCGCCGAAAAUUUAUAGGGGCUAAGUCUAAUACCGAAAGCGUGGGUUCGGUGAUUUCAUAAAGGAAAGUCGAGCGGUAGGAGAGCAUUCUGAUCUGCUGUGAAGGUUCGCUGUGAAGCGGGCUGGAGCGGUCAGAAGGGAAAAUGUUGGGAUGAGUAACCGCAAGACCGGUUAAAGUCCGGUCCGUCGUAAGCCUAAGGUUUCCUCCGCGAUGGCAAUCAUCGGAGGGUUAGGCGUCCCUAAGGAUAACCGUGCUUUCGAGCGCGGGAUGCCGAUGGUGAGCCGGUUAAUAUUCCGGCCCCACUUAUGUAUAUCUGAUUGAGAUGACGGGCAACACAAGAUCAAGCACAUUAUUGGAUUUGAUGUUUUCCACCCAUAGACUUUCUACCAGGAAAAUCCGGUAGAGGCCGCAAGGCAAUGUCGAGGGUAGAAGAAAUCGUCGCAAGACGAGAUUUGAUCGAAGAGGGCUCCAAGAAAAGUCUCUAAUGUUAGUACAUGAGUGCACGUACCUAAAACCGAAACAGGUGGGCUGGUGUAAGUGCACCAAGACGAACGGGUGAUUAUUGGUUAAGGAACUCGGCAAAAAAGCGGCCGUAAGUUCGCGAUAAGGCCUGCCGCCGCAAGGCGGCCACAGCUAAAGAACCCCUGGCGACUGUUUAUCAAAAACACAACUCCGUGCUAAGCCGAAAGGCGCUGUAUACGGGGUGACGCUUGUCCGGUGCCGGAACGUUAACGGUGGAGGUGGUAUGUCGCAAGAUGUACUGCUGACGCCCGAAGCGCCGGUGAACGACGGCAGUAACUAUAACUGUCUAAAAGUAGCAAAAUACCUUGUGGGGUAAGUUCCCACGCGCAUGAAUAGCGGAACGACUGGGGGACUGUCUCAACCAAUAGCCCGGUGAAAAUGCAAUGUCGGUAAAGAUACGAGUUGUUAUACGUAGCGUAGUGAGUAGGAUUUGAAGCCACACUCUCGGGUGUGGUGGAUCCGCCAAUGAAACACUCAUUUUAACGAUUUGUAGCUCUAACCGGUAACACCCUAAAAGGGUGGGACAAUAAAAGCUAAAGUAAGCUCCUGGUGAUAGAUUUAUUACUGAGAAUUUUAGUAAUCAAUCUUAUGGAGUUAUUUUAGAUUUUAUCAAUGUCUUACUUUUCUAGGGUGUUAUCGAGACAGUGCCUGGCGGGCAGUUUAAGUGGGGCACUUUCCUCCCAAAAAGUAAUGGAGGAGUUCAUCAAGGUUGGCUAGCUCCGGAUGGAAAUCGGAGCGAUAGUGUAAAGGCACAAGCCAGCUUUACUGCAAGGCGGAUAUGCCGCGCAGUUGCGAAAGCAGGACCUAGUGAACCGACUCUAACUCGUAGGAGUGGAGAAGAUCAUCAGAUAAAAGCUACUCCGGGGAUAACAGGCUGGUACUGCCCGAGCGUUCACAGCGACGGCAGUGUUCGGCACCUCGAUGUCGGCUCGCCCUAUCCUGGGACUGAAGAAGGCCCCAAGGGUUUGGCUGUUCGCCAAUUAAAAGGGUACGCGAGCUGGGUUCAAACCGU